rnacentral:rRNA from 1 species
UUAAGUUAUUAAGGGCGCACGGUGGAUGCCUUGGCACUAGAAGCCGAUGAAGGACGUUACUAACGACGAUAUGCUUUGGGGAGCUGUAAGUAAGCUUUGAUCCAGAGAUUUCCGAAUGGGGAAACCCAGCAUGAGUUAUGUCAUGUUAUCGAUAUGUGAAUACAUAGCAUAUCAGAAGGCACACCCGGAGAACUGAAACAUCUUAGUACCCGGAGGAAGAGAAAGAAAAUUCGAUUCCCUUAGUAGCGGCGAGCGAAACGGGAAGAGCCCAAACCAACAAGCUUGCUUGUUGGGGUUGUAGGACACUCUAUACGGAGUUACAAAGGACGACAUUAGACGAAUCAUCUGGAAAGAUGAAUCAAAGAAGGUAAUAAUCCUGUAGUCGAAAAUGUUGUCUCUCUUGAGUGGAUCCUGAGUACGACGGAGCACGUGAAAUUCCGUCGGAAUCUGGGAGGACCAUCUCCUAAGGCUAAAUACUCUCUAGUGACCGAUAGUGAACCAGUACCGUGAGGGAAAGGUGAAAAGCACCCCGGAAGGGGAGUGAAAUAGAACCUGAAACCGUGUGCUUACAAGUAGUCAGAGCCCGUUAAUGGGUGAUGGCGUGCCUUUUGUAGAAUGAACCGGCGAGUUACGAUUUGAUGCAAGGUUAAGCAGUAAAUGUGGAGCCGUAGCGAAAGCGAGUCUGAAUAGGGCGUUUAGUAUUUGGUCGUAGACCCGAAACCAGGUGAUCUACCCUUGGUCAGGUUGAAGUUCAGGUAACACUGAAUGGAGGACCGAACCGACUUACGUUGAAAAGUGAGCGGAUGAACUGAGGGUAGCGGAGAAAUUCCAAUCGAACCUGGAGAUAGCUGGUUCUCUCCGAAAUAGCUUUAGGGCUAGCCUCAAGUGAUGAUUAUUGGAGGUAGAGCACUGUUUGGACGAGGGGCCCCUCUCGGGUUACCGAAUUCAGACAAACUCCGAAUGCCAAUUAAUUUAACUUGGGAGUCAGAACAUGGGUGAUAAGGUCCGUGUUCGAAAGGGAAACAGCCCAGACCACCAGCUAAGGUCCCAAAAUAUAUGUUAAGUGGAAAAGGAUGUGGCGUUGCCCAGACAACUAGGAUGUUGGCUUAGAAGCAGCCAUCAUUUAAAGAGUGCGUAAUAGCUCACUAGUCGAGUGACACUGCGCCGAAAAUGUACCGGGGCUAAACAUAUUACCGAAGCUGUGGAUUGUCCUUUGGACAAUGGUAGGAGAGCGUUCUAAGGGCGUUGAAGCAUGAUCGUAAGGACAUGUGGAGCGCUUAGAAGUGAGAAUGCCGGUGUGAGUAGCGAAAGACGGGUGAGAAUCCCGUCCACCGAUUGACUAAGGUUUCCAGAGGAAGGCUCGUCCGCUCUGGGUUAGUCGGGUCCUAAGCUGAGGCCGACAGGCGUAGGCGAUGGAUAACAGGUUGAUAUUCCUGUACCACCUAUAAUCGUUUUAAUCGAUGGGGGGACGCAGUAGGAUAGGCGAAGCGUGCGAUUGGAUUGCACGUCUAAGCAGUAAGGCUGAGUAUUAGGCAAAUCCGGUACUCGUUAAGGCUGAGCUGUGAUGGGGAGAAGACAUUGUGUCUUCGAGUCGUUGAUUUCACACUGCCGAGAAAAGCCUCUAGAUAGAAAAUAGGUGCCCGUACCGCAAACCGACACAGGUAGUCAAGAUGAGAAUUCUAAGGUGAGCGAGCGAACUCUCGUUAAGGAACUCGGCAAAAUGACCCCGUAACUUCGGGAGAAGGGGUGCUCUUUAGGGUUAACGCCCAGAAGAGCCGCAGUGAAUAGGCCCAAGCGACUGUUUAUCAAAAACACAGGUCUCUGCUAAACCGUAAGGUGAUGUAUAGGGGCUGACGCCUGCCCGGUGCUGGAAGGUUAAGAGGAGUGGUUAGCUUCUGCGAAGCUACGAAUCGAAGCCCCAGUAAACGGCGGCCGUAACUAUAACGGUCCUAAGGUAGCGAAAUUCCUUGUCGGGUAAGUUCCGACCCGCACGAAAGGCGUAACGAUUUGGGCACUGUCUCAACGAGAGACUCGGUGAAAUCAUAGUACCUGUGAAGAUGCAGGUUACCCGCGACAGGACGGAAAGACCCCGUGGAGCUUUACUGUAGCCUGAUAUUGAAAUUCGGCACAGCUUGUACAGGAUAGGUAGGAGCCUUUGAAACGUGAGCGCUAGCUUACGUGGAGGCGCUGGUGGGAUACUACCCUAGCUGUGUUGGCUUUCUAACCCGCACCACUUAUCGUGGUGGGAGACAGUGUCAGGCGGGCAGUUUGACUGGGGCGGUCGCCUCCUAAAAGGUAACGGAGGCGCUCAAAAGUUCCCUCAGAAUGGUUGGAAAUCAUUCAUAGAGUGUAAAGGCAUAAGGGAGCUUGACUGCGAGACCUACAAGUCGAGCAGGGUCGAAAGACGGACUUAGUGAUCCGGUGGUUCCGCAUGGAAGGGCCAUCGCUCAACGGAUAAAAGCUACCCCGGGGAUAACAGGCUUAUCUCCCCCAAGAGUUCACAUCGACGGGGAGGUUUGGCACCUCGAUGUCGGCUCAUCGCAUCCUGGGGCUGUAGUCGGUCCCAAGGGUUGGGCUGUUCGCCCAUUAAAGCGGUACGCGAGCUGGGUUCAGAACGUCGUGAGACAGUUCGGUCCCUAUCCGUCGUGGGCGUAGGAAAUUUGAGAGGAGCUGUCCUUAGUACGAGAGGACCGGGAUGGACAUACCUCUGGUGUACCAGUUGUCGUGCCAACGGCAUAGCUGGGUAGCUAUGUGUGGACGGGAUAAGUGCUGAAAGCAUCUAAGCAUGAAGCCCCCCUCAAGAUGAGAUUUCCCAACUUCGGUUAUAAGAUCCCUCAAAGAUGAUGAGGUUAAUAGGUUCGAGGUGGAAGCAUGGUGACAUGUGGAGCUGACGAAUACUAAUCGAUCGAAGACUUAAUCAA